UUGGUUGACGAUCCGAUUCAAAUCUGCGUUUUCCCUCACUCAAUAAACGUUGCCAGCUCGCUUUUCUGAACAAAAUAAAAAAAAAGAAAAAAUCUGUCAUUCGCCAAAGCUCGAAGGUUGUGUGACGGGUAUUUUGAAUAGUUUCGAGUUUAGCCCGCCUUCUGACAACGUAUUAGACGAAGGCAGAUGUUGAUGAUAGUGGAAGGGCAGCUGUGAUUCAUGUUGCCUCGACCAAACCCUGUUGAUGAGCAAAGGGGAAUUGUAUUUCACCCUUGGUUGUACCACCAUGACACAGAUUUAACUUACAGGUUUCAUUCCAGGAACGUUAAUAUACACUUCAAGCAGAUAUUAAAGUAUGAACCUGAGAGCAAAGAAAAUUUUGCAAGAUUUUUUAUAUAACAGUACUGAGCACUGGUGAAGGUGAAGGUUUGAAUGUGAUGUGGACUGAAUGUCUUCAGAACAGUACUGAUUUUGAGGCUGGACAUUUAGCACAUUCCGUAAAUGUGUAUGGACAUUCAUGCUAUGGCAGCCAACCCUUGGGACAUCCAUUAUAUUAAAAGUGUAAAGUAUUUUUCCUAUUCUAGACAACAUUUCCAAGUAGUAACUGUAAAACCUUGAUAUGUAGAUAAAAAAUAUAUAAAUGUAAAGGAAAGUAAAACAAAAAAUAAAUAGGCUUAAAUAUAACAACAACAUAAGACACAAAUGCCAUUAUAUGUUAGUACUAAUUUUAAAAAGUCCCCAUAAGAAGUUAAGUUCCACUAACAAUCCAACUAAGCCAAUGAUAAAAAUAUGAAGAUAUUAACAAAUCACCCAGAUCUUUCCUUAGAUGAACUAGAAUUAGGUUUAAGCUUUAUAUAUAAAUAUAUAGAUACAAGUUUUAUGGGCUUCUCUCUACAUCCAAUAUGGAUGCAAAGAAAGUUUUGUUGAACUGUUACAAAUGUAUAUCUGUACAUUUCAUAUGCCUUUAGAGUAGUCUGAACUUAACAAAGCUGUUAUUGGCUCCUGCAAAUAAAGAAUAAAUACCCGUUAUCACGAAUUUUGACAUUUCUUUCUUUCUGUUUUUAAAUAUGUUUCUUUUAUAUAUACAUAUAUAGGUAGCAAAGCAUAUCUAGAAGAGUGGGGACCUUAUGCUUUUAGACAACAAAUAGGCUUACCUUCAAAUGUUUAUAUUGUGUGAUAUUUAAUACAUAAAUACAAUGCGUGAUAAUUUUGCUUUUUAAAUGUACUUCAGUGAAUACAUGUGUAUGAUACCAUGUAUUUGUUGUGCAUGUUUAUAUGAUACCAUGUAUUUGUUGUGUAUGUUUAUAUCAUACCAUGUAUUUAUUGUGUUCGUUUCUAUUAUAACAUGAACUUAUUAUGUGUUUAUAUCACGUAUCAUACCAUGAAUCCAUUUUCUUAUAUUUGUUUGUCGUUGUUCAGUUUCUUUACAAUAUAAAUAUUAUUUAAGCGGCU